AGUACGGCGAGUGAAGCGGCAAAAGCUCAAAUUUGAAAUCUGGCACCUUCGGUGUCCGAGUUGUAAUUUGAAGAAGGUAACUUUGGAGUUGGCUCUUGUCUAUGUUCCUUGGAACAGGACGUCACAGAGGGUGAGAAUCCCGUGCGAUGAGAUGCCCAAUUCUAUGUAAAGUGCUUUCGAAGAGUCGAGUUGUUUGGGAAUGCAGCUCUAAGUGGGUGGUAAAUUCCAUCUAAAGCUAAAUAUUGGCGAGAGACCGAUAGCGAACAAGUACAGUGAUGGAAAGAUGAAAAGAACUUUGAAAAGAGAGUGAAAAAGUACGUGAAAUUGUUGAAAGGGAAGGGCUUGAGAUCAGACUUGGUAUUUUGCGAUCCUUUCCUUCUUGGUUGGGUUCCUCGCAGCUUACUGGGCCAGCNUCGGUUUGGAUGGUAGGAUAAUGACUAAGGAAUGUGGCUCUACUUCGGUGGAGUGUUAUAGCCUUGGUUGAUACUGCCUGUCUAGACCGAGGACUGCGUCUUUUGACUAGGAUGUUGGCAUAAUGAUCUUAAGCCACCCGUCUUGA
rnacentral:rRNA from 1 species